rnacentral:rRNA from 1 species
GAUGAACGCUGGCGGCGUGCCUAAUACAUGCAAGUCGAGCGAAUGGAUUAAGAGCUUGCUCUUAUGAAGUUAGCGGCGGACGGGUGAGUAACACGUGGGUAACCUGCCCAUAAGACUGGGAUAACUCCGGGAAACCGGGGCUAAUACCGGAUAACAUUUUGAACCGCAUGGUUCGAAAUUGAAAGGCGGCUUCGGCCGUCACUUAUGGAUGGACCAGCGUCGCAUUAGCUGGGUGGUGAGGUAACGGCGCACCAAGGCAACGAUGCGUAGCCUAACUGAGAGGGUGAUCUGCCACACUGAGACUGAGACACGGCCCAGACUCCUACGGGGGGCAGCAGUAGGGAAUCUUCCGCAAUGGACGAAAGUCUGACGGAGCAACGCCAGGUGAGUGAUGAAGGCAUUCGGGUCGUAAAACUCUUUUGUUAGGGAAGAACAUGUGCUAGUUGAAUAAGCUGGCACCUUGACGGUACCUAACCAGAAAGCCACGGCUAACUACGUGCCAGCCGCCGCGGUAA